rnacentral:rRNA from 1 species
GUAGGGUGCGAGCGUUAAUCGGAAUUACUGGGGCGUAAAGCGUGCGCAGGCGGCUUUGCAAGACAGAUGUGAAAUCCCCCGGGGCUCAACCUGGGGAACUGCAUUUGUGACUGCAAGGCUAGAGUACGGUAGAGGGGGAUGGAAUUCCGCGUGUAGCAGUGAAAUGCGUAGAUAUGCGGAGGAACACCAAUGGCGAAGGCAAUCCCCUGGACCUGUACUGACGCUCAUGCACGAAAGCGUGGGGAGCAAACAGGAUUAGAUACCCUGGUAGUCCACGCCCUAAACGAUGUCAACUGGUUGUUGGACGGCUUGCUGUUCAGUAACGAAGCUAACGCGUGAAGUUGACCGCCUGGGGAGUACGGCCGCAAGGUUG